UGAGAAGUAAGAAAAUUAUGGAAAGAGCCUCUGCUGGUGAAUCUCUCACUUAAGGGCAAACAACCCUGUUUAUUUCAGAGAACGUGGAAAGUGAUAUCUCUUCCCUCAGUAUACUUGUGACUCUUAUUACUGCAUUGUCUGCUUAUCAGUUCUGUAGACAGAAUCCACAAAUCUGCUGAAUUAGAUUCAACUCUCUUUUAUUGUACCCUGUUUGCGAGACCCUGACUUCCCCGUCAGUAAGAGCUGGCUAUCAUCUCCAUCAUUUUCUAUUUAAAGAGAAAUAAAAGUUACUCAUAUGCAGUGACUGAGUUUGAA
rnacentral:lncRNA from 1 species